GACGAACGCUGGCGGCGUGCUUAACACAUGCAAGUCGAACGGAAAGGCCCUGCUUUUGUGGGGUGCUCGAGUGGCGAACGGGUGAGUAACACGUGAGUAACCUGCCCUUGACUUUGGGAUAACUUCAGGAAACUGGGGCUAAUACCGGAUAGGAGCUCCUGCUGCAUGGUGGGGGUUGGACAGUUUCGGGGGUUGGGGAUGGACUCGCGGCUUAUCAGCUUGUUGGUGGGGUAGUGGCUUACCAAGGCUUUGACGGGUAGCCGGCCUGAGAGGGUGACCGGCCCACUUGGAGGGCGAUGCGGCCCAGAUGUCGUUGGGGGGGGGGGGGAGGGGAGGGAUGGGAACAGGGGGGAACCAGGAGGAAGAAACGCGGGGUGCGGGAAGGAGGCAUUCGGGUUGUACACGGCUUUCGCCUGUAAGGAGAGGUAAGGGCAGGUACUGGGGAAAGAAGCACCGGCUACCUCCGU
rnacentral:rRNA from 1 species